rnacentral:lncRNA from 1 species
CUAUUAUGUUCCGAGAGUGCAAAUUUGGAACGAAUCGAUGACAACGUUCACAAAAACCAAAUCCGGAACAACAUUAAACUACUCAGUUACGCCCUAACAGUAUAACUUUGCAACGAGUACUUUUUCUCAUUCAAUCGAACAAAGUGUAAAAGCUAAUUAUAUUGUUCUAUUAUGCCCCGAGAGUGUAAAUUUGGAACGAAUCGAUGUCAACGUUCACAAGAACCAAAAUCGGAACAACAUUAGACUACUCAGUUGUGCCCUAACAGUAUAACUUUGCAACGAGUACUUUUUCUCAUUCUAUCGAACAAAGAGUAAAACCUAUUUAUAUUGUUCUAUUAUGCCCCGAGAGUGUAAAUAUAAAACGAAUCGAUGUCAACAUUCACAAGAACCAAAACCGGAACAACAUUAGACUCCUCAAUUGUGCCCUAACAGUAUAAAUUUGCAACGAGUACUUUUUCUCAUUCUAUCGAAUAAAGAGUAAAACCUAAUUAUAUUGUUCUAUUAUGCCUUGAGAGAGUAAAUUUGAAACGAAUCGAUGUCAACGUUCACAAGAACCAAAAUCGGAACAAUAUCAGUUGCGUCUUAACAAUAUAACUUUGCAACCAGUACUUUUUCUCAUUCGAUCAAACAAAGUGUAAAAGCUAAUUAUAUUGUUCUGUUAUGCCCCGAGAGUGUAAAUUUGGAACGAAUCGAUGUCAACCUUCACAAGAACCAAAAUCGGAACAACAUUAGACUACUCAGUUGCGCCCUAACAGUAACUUUUGCAAUGAAUACUUUUUCUCAUUCUAUCGAACAAAUAGUAAAACCUAAUUAUAUUGUUCUAUUAUGCCCCGAGAGAGUAAAUUUGGAACGAAUCGAUGUCAAUGUUCACAAGAAUCAAAAUCGGAACAACAUUUGACUACUCAGUUGCGC